rnacentral:lncRNA from 1 species
CCGGGGAGAAAGUCUGAAGGGAAGGAAAGGCAUGAUCUACGUGUGGUUGAGAAAGAGAAAGGCAGGGUUCAGAGAAUUCUUUCCUUAGCUGUUCAAUUUUGUCAGUAAAGUAGCAUGCAAAGUUUUCGGCUGUAAGGUUAGUUUGAGGGAUGACCACAGCAGGGUGAAGAAGAGAGUUAAAGGUGUCAAAGAGACGCUUGGGAUUGUGGGAGCAUUAACUCAUGAGAGAGAAAAAGUAUGACUGUUUGGUGAGGGCAAGGGCUGCGCUGUAUGACUGCAAUAUAAAUCUAUAAUAGAGGAAGUCUGCCUGGGUGCGAGACUUCCUCCAGGAGCGUUCAGCACAACGGAAGCAUCUCUGCAGGUAGCGUGUUGAUUUAGUAUGCCACGGUUGGGGGCGUGUCCUCCUCGAGGGGCAUGUUUGGAGCGGGACUGCAGCGUUCAAGGCAGAGGUGAGGGUAGUGUUAUAUGUGGAGAUGGCCAGUGAGGGACAGGAGAGGGAAGGGAUGACAGCUGCUGGAGGUCAGUAGAAUUAAGGUUCCUUCUGAGUUGAGGGGGGUUAGGCUGAGAUUGUUGGGUGAGGGGGUACUCAAGAGCAAAUGAUAAGAGGUGGUGAUCAGAGAGAGAAAAUGGAGUGUUGCAGAUAUUAGACACUGUACAUGCCUAAGAGAAAAUGAGAUUGAGGGUAUUGCCAGCUACAUGGGUGAGAGAAUUAGCCCACUGCGAUAGCCUGAGGGAAGAAGUAAUUGUAAGUAGUUUAGAAGCUGCUGAGGUCAAGGUUGGGUUAAUGGGAAUAUUGAAGUCCCUGAGAAUUAGGGAGGGAAUAUUAGAAGAGAGGAAGUAGGGUAGCCAGGCAGCAUUCUAAAACUUGUAAUAUUUGCAUUUGCCCAUAACAAAAGUGGUCAAGUAAGAGGAGAGGGGAACCAGGGGGACGAUAAAUAAUGGCAAUAAUAGCAGAGAUGGGUUUGAAAAGAUGAAUCGAAUGGAUUUCAAAUGAUGAGAAAGAGAGGGAAGGGGGGGGGAGGUAGGGGUAGAGGUUUGAAGGAGCAGUGAGGUGAGAGUAGAAACCCUACACCAGCACCUUUACAUUCAGAGUGUCGGGUUGUGGGUAAGUUGAAGACAACCAAAGGAUAAAGAUGCAGGGUUAGCAGUGUCAGAGAGGGAGAGCCAUGUUCCUGUUAAGGCUAGUAAAUCUAGGGAACGAGAGAUGAAGAGGUUGUGGAUUUUGUAAUAUUGUAAACAGAGCGUGCAUUCCAGAGGGCAGUAUUGAAGGAGGAUUUAGAGGAAGAGUAACAUGAGAUGGGUAUGAGAUUGGUGUGGUUCCUUGAGUUAGUAUGUCGUGAGUUUGCCGAGGUGGGACAGGGGCUUGGGGAGACAUCAACAGCUGCUAGGAGCAGAAGGAUAGAAAGGAAGUGAAGGUGGGAGUAGGAUUUGAAAGUUUUGUAGGAGGGUACGUAUAUAGAGGAUUUGGGAGGAGUUGGAGGAGAUAGGCUGGAAAGGUAUACGUAGAUUGCAAGGGAUGAAUAGAGAGGGGAGGAAAGUAAAGUGGGUGCAAUGAAGAUUGUGUCACCAGGAACAGGUAAUCAGAAGGAUUGGGAUAUUUCAGUAAUGAGAGAAGUUAGAGUGAAAAUGAAAAAUAGAAGGGAGAACAUUAUUUAGAGAAAAUGUGUUUUGUUAUAUAGAUAUGAAGAUUAUACAUAUAGACAUAUACACACACACAUACCUAUGAGUGUUUAAACCAUGGUUAAGGAUGCAGUUUGUUAACAGAGGGAUUUCAGGGCAGGAGAGGUUUAGGGACUUGAUUGGUUUGUUUUGAAAACCAGCUGAUGGUAGUCUGAUAGUACGUUCUUUAUUUUAUCUGCUAUUCUGUUUUUUUUGUUUUUUUUUUUAAUAAUUCUUUAUUUUUGGUGUGUCGUUGCAUUACAUCUUACAAUCAAGAAAGACAUUACGCAUUACGUGCAUUUUUGACAUGGGUACAGGUACAGUGGUCGUCGUGUGCUCCUCAGUGGUUGAUAACUUGGCCCCUGUAGGGGAUAGCUUGCAUUCUGACGACACCAUUGUUUCAGUAACCAAAAACUUAAAUGACCACUCUAGGCACCCAGACAACUUCAGCUUUAUGAAGUGGUCUGGGUGCCAGGUCCCUCUAGAGAAACUGCUAUGUUUAUACUGAG